CCUUCUCCCCGCUUCCGCCCUGCGCGCUAACCCAAGACGGGAGCUCGAGAGCUUGAUCUUGCGGGAGUUUACAGACUGCCCUCUUCCCUUUUUGCCUCGAUGACCACAACUCCCAAGAGGUAAUGCGUUGGCCCGGGACUACAUCUCCCGACAUGCACCUCCGGCGGGUCCGCGAGUUCCCACCUUCACCCCAGCUGGACUGUUAGCGGGGGCCUUAGCGCUCUUGUGGUUUGUUUCGGCAGUAUCUGAACGUCAGCUUUUGGCACUUCUGGUCGCUCUGAGCCUCUGACUCACAUUCCUGGAGCCAGGUGCUUUCCAGGCCUCAUGGGGGUGGAGGAGCUGAGGAAGCUCGAGAAGAUGGAUAGAAGUGGGAAAUGGGCCGGGCGCGGUGGCUCACGCCUGUAAUCCCAGCACUUUGGGAGGCCGAGGCGGGUGGAUCACAAGGUCAGGAGAUCGAGACCAUCCUGGCUAACACGGUGAAACCCCGUCUCUACUAAAAAUACAAAAAAUUAGCCGGGCGAGGUGGCAGGCGCCUGUAGUCCCAGCUACGCAGGAGGCUGAGGCAGGAGAAUGGCGUGAACCCCGGGGGGCGGAGCCUGCAGUGAGCCGAGAUCGCGCCACUGCACUCCAGCUUGGGUGAAAGAGCGAGACUCCGUCUCAAAAAAAAAAAAAAAAAAAAAGAAGUGGGAAAUGGAGCUAGCGGAGGGGAGAGGGAAAUGGCUGGAAUAUUCGUCAAUCUGUGGGGCUUUACUGGAGAUUUGCAGGACUUUAGAGGAAGGGGGCAUUGAAUUUCAUAACCUAAGCCGUAUCGUGGUUUACCAGAAAGUUUUGACCCGUGAUUCCGGUUUUAAAGGCUGAGUAGGGCCGGGCGCGGUGGUUCACGCCAGUAAUCCCAGCAGUUUAGGAGGCCAAGGCAGGUGGAUCACCUGAGGUCAGGAGUUGGAGAUAAACCUGGCCAACAUGGUGAAACCUCGUCUUCAGUAAAAAAUACAAAAAUUAGCCAGGUUUGGUGGCACAUGCCUGUAAUCCCAGCUACUCGAAAGGCUGAGGCAGGAGAAUCGCUUGAAACCAGGAGGAGAAGGUUGCAGCGAACCGAGAGCUCGCCACUGUACUCCAGCCUGGGCGACAGAGCAAGACUGUGUCAAAACAACACCACAAGCUAGCUGAGUAGGGUUUCUUGGGCGAAGUGGAAGACAUUAUAAGCAAAUAGGGUAGUAUGGGCAUGGAAACGAACUACGUGAUUAAAGAUUAGUACUAUCUGGCGAGGGAGGAAAAGUGCCAGACCAAGUGCCGCAACUGGAGGGUUACAUUUAGUUCAGGAUAUGAAGAGGCGUAAGAUCAUUUUUUUUUUUUUUUUUGAGACGGAGUCUUGCUCUGUCGCCCAGGCUGGAGUUCAGUGGCGCAAUCUCGGCUCACUGCAAGCUCCGCCUCCCGGGUUCACGCCAUUCUCCUGCCUCAGCCUCUCCGAGUAGCUGGGACUACAGGCGCCCGCCACCACGCCUGGCUAAUUUUUUAUAUUUUUAGUAGAGACGGGGUUUCACCGUGGUCUCGAUCUCCUGACCUCGUGAUUCGCCCGCCUCAGCCUCCCAAAGUGCUGGGAUUACAAGCGUGAGCCACCACGCCGGGCCCAGAGGCUUAAGAUCAUAUAAGGCCUGCACGGUGGCUCACACCUGUAAUCCCAGCACUUUGGGAAGCCAAGGUCGGGGAGGAUCGCUUGAGCUCAGGAGUUGGAGACCAGUCUGGGCAACAUAGUGGGACCCCAUAUCUCAGAAAAAAAUAAGCUGGGCGUGGUGGCUUGUGCCUGUGGUCUCAGCUAUCCCGGAGGCUGAGGUGGGAGGACUGCUUGAGCUCAGGACGUCAAGGCUGCAGUGAGCUAUGAUGGGCCACUGCACUCCAGCCUGGGCUACAGAGUGAGACCUUGUCCCAAAAAACAAGCGACAACAACAAAACAUGUAAGGAGAGGCCAGGCGCGGUGGCUCAAGCCUGUAAUCCCAGCACUUUGGGAGGCCAAGGUGGGCGGAUCACGAGGUCACAAGUUCAAGACCAGCCUGGCCAAGAUGGCAAAACACCAUCUCUACUAAAACUACAAAAAUUAGCCAGGCGUGGUGGCGCAUGCCUGUAGUCCCAGCUACUCGGGAGGCUGAGGCAGGAGAAUGGCGUGAACCCGGGAGGCAGAGCUUGCAGUGAGCUGAGACCGUGCCACUGCACUCCAGCCUGGGCGACAGCAAGACUCCAUCUCAAAAAAAAAAAAAAAAGAAAAAAGAACAGGAUAACAGCGAUGUUCGGGGAACAAGAGAGAUAACCUUAAACUCUGACUGCCGGAAAGCUGGGUGGAACAGAGCCAUAUUUCUCUUCUUUCAAAAGCAAAUGGGAGAAAUAUCACUGAAUUCUUUUUCUCAGCAAGGAACAUCCCUGAGAAAGAGAAUGCAUCCCUGAGGGUAGGCCUCUGAAAUGGCCGCUUCGGGGUGGCCAUCUUUUAUGGUCACAGCUGUAGGUAUGAAAUAAGCCCCAGUCUCCCGUAGUGCUCCCAGGCUUAUUAGGACAAGGAAAUUCCCACCUAAUAAAUUUUGGUCAGACCGGUUGUUUGCUCUCAAACCCUGUCUCCUGAUAAGAUGUUAUCAAAAAAAAAAAAGAUGUUAUCAAUGACAAUGCGUGCCCGAAACUUCAUUAGCAAUUUUAAUUUCGCCCCGUCCUGUGGUCCUGUGAUCUCGCCCUGCCUCCAUUUACCUUGUGAUAUCUUAUUACCUUGUGAAGCAUGUGAUCUCUGUGACCCACACCCUAUUCGUACACUCCCUCCCCUUUUCGAUAAUCACUAAUAAAAACUUGCUGGUUUUAUGGCUCAGGGGGCAUCACGGAACCUGCCAACAUGUGAUGUCCCCCCCGGACACCCAGCUUUAAAAUUUC